rnacentral:tRNA from 1 species
GGAGUUGUAGCUCAGUGGUUAAGUGCUCACCUUGCAUGUGUGAGGCACUAAGUUCAAUCCUCAGCAACACAU